rnacentral:rRNA from 1 species
UACGUAGGGGGCGAGCGUUGUCCGGAGUUACUGGGCGUAAAGCGCACGCAGGCGGUCUGUUAAGUUUGGAGUGACAGUUGGUGGCUUAACUGCCAAAGUGCUUCGAAAACUGACAGACUUGAGGGCUUCAGAGGGACACGGAAUUCCGGGUGGAGUGGUGAAAUGCGUAGAUAUAGGGAAGAACACCAAUCAGGCGAAGGCAGUUAACUAUUCUAUUCCUGACAUUGAGGCAUGAAAGCGUGGGGAGCAAAACGG